rnacentral:rRNA from 1 species
GUCUAUGGCAAUACCAUCUUGAAUGUGCCAAAUCUUGUCUGGUUGGAAGCUAAACAGGGCCGGGCCUGGUAAGCACAUGAAUGGAAGAAAAUAACCCAUCAAUGCUAGCUAGAAAAUUGAACUGUAAUCU